UUCAUUUUCUAGCAGGACUUGGCACAAUGCCCACUUUUCUUAGACACCGUUUUUUGCUAUUUAUAGGUUUAUGUUUGAGUAAAAUGAACAUUGUUGUUUUCUUCUACAAACUACAGACAACAUUUCUCCCAAAUUCCAAAUAAAAAUAUUUUAGUCAUUUACAGCAUUUUUUUGCAGAAAAUGAGAAAUGGCUGAACUAACAAAAAAAAAAGAUGCAGAGCUUUCAGACCUCAAAUAAUGCAAAGAAAACAAGUUCAUAUUCCUGAAGGUUUUAAUCACAGUUUUCAUGCAUCUUGGCAUGUUCUCCUCCAUCAGUCUUACCCACUGCUUUUGGAUAACUUUAUGCCUUUACUCCUGGUGCAAAAAUGAAGCAGUUCAGUUUGGUUUCGUGGCUUGUGAUCAUCCAUCUUUCUCUUGAUUAUAUUCCAGAGGUUUUUAAUUUGGUUUUUAAUAUUGGGUACGAUAUGAUAUGGUACACCCCAGUGCUUCCCUCCUUUAUGAAGAUGUGGAUUUCAUUUUCCAGCAGGACUUGGCACAAUGCCCACUUUUCUGAGACACUGAUUUUUGGGUUUUCAUUGGCUGUAAGCCAUAAUAAUCAACAAUAAAAUAAAUAAAUGCAUACAAUAGAUCACUUUGUGUGUAAUACAUCUAUAUAAUAUGUAUAGUUUCACAUUUUGAACUAAACUACUGAAAUAAAGUAACUGAGUAUACAACUAGGUCUAACUCUUUAAACUCUUUCAAAUGUAAUGCCUUCUAUUUUUUUCAGGAAAAGGUUCAGGAAAAGAACAUACAAAGAGUUUUUCCACUAUAUGAGUACGUCACGCUGAGAACAUAUCACCAUACUGCAUUCAUCCAGUUCCAGAUUACACGCCGGCUCCCCGGGGUGACCGGCGACACCGGAGACGAUGGAGCGGCGGACGCCAGCCUCCAUAAAUCUCAGAGAAAAGGCGCAUAAACCGCGUGCUAGACGUGGAGGAAAUGGGUCAGUCAUACGAAUCGGCAUCUACUGGCAUAUAAAUCUCAUUGGUGGAGGGACAAGGAGCCGGAGACGGAACCCAGCUGCUUCGGCUGUGCUUAAACAGAUUCUCCGCCGCGGCCUGAUGGCCACUGUGUGCGUAUGGAGGUGCCAUCAAGACUGAUUUGUUUUUCACACCAAAUCAGCAGCAGCAGCAGCAGCAGCAGGCCAGAGAUGGCAAUACACCUCCGUCUUAUUCCGUCACACUCAUACACACACACACACAGCUGGUCCGGGGAAGGACAAAGAGCUGACAAACUCCAGCUGCUCGGGGAAUUGCACGUCCUGGAGGGUUUGUGCUGCGAUUUGUCCUGCUACAGCGUUUUCGAUAUGCAGGGCGGCGCUCCGAUUGGAGACGACUGGCCUUGCAGGAGUGGAACAGUAAGCAAUUUCAUGACUGUAUAAAGAUCACCUGCUAAAUUACCUGCUAUGAACUUUACUUAAAGUGAAAGCUCAGCAAGUUUCAGCCUUUUUUUUCUCACUCUAAAUGUAGAGUAUCGGCAUGGAUACACUGGCUGUCUGAAGGUUUAGACUUUCCAAUGCCAGACUAGGGGCUGAACACCAACAGGGGAUCAGAGUCUAGGAUCAGAGGUUGAGGGAUACCGAGCACUAGGGCUGCACCAUAUUGGAAAAAAACAAUUCGGCAAUAUCGGGGUUCUUGCACCACUUUAAAACUCAAAUUUCAUGCUUUUUAAGACAUUUU